rnacentral:rRNA from 1 species
UACGUAGGCAGCGAGCGUUGUUCGGAGUUACUGGGCGUAAAGGGCGCGUAGGCGGUUCGUUAAGUCCUGUGUGAAAUCCCCCGGCUCAACUGGGGAACUGCACAGGAAACUAGCGGGCUUGAGUUCGGGAGAGGGAAGCGGAAUUCCGGGUGUAGCGGUGAAAUGCGUAGAUAUCCGGAGGAACACCGGUGGCGAAGGCGGCUUCCUGGACCGACACUGACGCUGAGGCGCGAAAGCUAGGGGAGCAAACGGG